AACAGGUUUGGUCCCAGCCUUUUUAUUAGCCCUUAGUAGACUUACACAUGCAAGCAUCCACGCCCCAGUGAGAAUGCCCUCUAAAUCCCAAUUAGGAUUAAAAGGAGCAGGUAUCAAGUACACCAUAUGGUAGCUCACAACACCUUGCUCAACCACACCCCCACGGGAUACAGCAGUGAUAAAAAUUAAGCCAUGAACGAAAGUUCGACUUAGCCAUACUAAACUUAGGGUUGGUAAAUUUCGUGCCAGCCACCGCGGUCAUACGAUUAACCCAAGUCAAUAAAAUCCGGCGUAAAGCGUGUCCAAGAUCAGCCAGCAACAAUAAUAAAGAUAAGCCCUACCUAAGCUGUAAAA
rnacentral:rRNA from 1 species